rnacentral:tRNA from 1 species
GAAAUAGUGGUGUAAUGGCAUCACACAGGUUCGUGGCGCCUGAGAUACGGGUUCGAAUCCCGUCUGUUUCC